rnacentral:rRNA from 1 species
GACGAACGCUGGCGGCGUGCUUAACACAUGCAAGUCGAACGGAAAGGCCCUGCUUUUGUGGGGUGCUCGAGUGGCGAACGGGUGAGUAACACGUGAGUAACCUGCCCUUGACUUUGGGAUAACUUCAGGAAACUGGGGCUAAUACCGGAUAGGAGCUCCUGCUGCAUGGUGGGGGUGGGAAAGUUUCGGCGGUUGGGGAUGGACUCGCGGCUUAUCAGCUUGUUGGUGGGGUAGUGGCUUACCAAGGCUUUGACGGGUAGCCGGCCUGAGAGGGUGACCGGCCACAUUGGGACUGAGAUACGGCCCGGACUCCUACGGGAGGCAGAAGUGGGGAAUAUUGCACAAUGGGCGGAAGCCUGAUGCAGCAACGCCGCGUGCGGGAUGACGGCCUUCGGGUUGUAAACCGCUUUCGCCUGUGACGAAGCGUGAGUGACGGUAAUGGGUAAAGAAGCACCGGCUAACUACGUG